UUUUAUGGUGGUCGUGCGCAGGGCACUUCGGUGCGCCGGUUUUCCUGAUCACCGGUCUGCUAACCUGCGUACGGCUGCCACCCCC
rfam:Pseudomonas batumici strain TCM B-321 Contig_22, whole genome shotgun sequence.